rnacentral:misc_RNA from 1 species
CAUGGAGUGAGUUCGAAAAUCGCGCACACACACACACACACACGACAGGCAACCCCGCGCUGUACGGUACAUGCGGCACGGAGUCACAAAGAACUACGCCACAGCACCGCCUGUCAAGUAGCAUCUGCCCUCCCUCCCUCCCUCACUUUACGACCAAAACGCGCGCGCACGACGACCUCCUUGCGUGUGUCGGAUCAAAAUGGAGGUCACUCACAUUAUCGCUGUGGUGUUUUUCAACAGGGUUGCCUUGCAGUAUGCCUUGUGGGCGGCCAUCCUGCUCGCCCCGCUCUAUGCGUUUGCGCUGAAGCCUCUCGUCCGAUGCUGCCGACAGUGUGCAGCGAUGAAGGCCGCAACACGUUCUGCGGAGAGAACGGCUUUACAACCACCAGCAGCUAGCAAGCUUCAUGGCACCCCUGUGCGGCUCUCCGCGGCCGGAUCGAAAGGAUUCCUCUCGCCCGCGUCUGUUGGGGCCACACAGGCAUCUUUCAUGCCUAUCUUCGCCACCGCCGCGACAGUGACACCGUCUUAUCAGGCGCGCAGUCGCAGCAGCAUCGGUGCGCAGGUGGCUCCUCUCGGGCCCCAUGACUCGACGCCAAACGGGCAUGGUUCAACGCGCUCGCUAGAAGUCACGGGAACAGCGCUGACGCUGGAGGAGGUGGGGUGUCGCUCGGUGACACAGCGCUUCGUGUCGGCGCUGUGCCGGCACGUGCGGCAACGUGGCUCAGCCCUCUUCAAGAGUCGCGACAGCACCUUGCGCGCAGCCCUGCAGUCGGGCGAGUUGUAUCUCCACCGCCACUCCUCGCUGCAUCUGCCAAGCCAGAACUACUUUUCUCACAGCCUGCAGGAGAAGUAUGACAAACUCAACACCACCGACGCCUCCUUGGAGGCGCUCUACGUACGGCCUGCGUUCCAGGAGUGGUAUGCGGCAAAUCGUGAGCAGCUCCUGCGCGACAUGCAACUUCGCGAGGCAUUCGCCAAAUGGUGCAACGUCGCGACGGCCUUUGUGCUCCUUGUGGCCUUGUUGCUGCUUCCAGCAUACAGUUUCAGCAUGCAGACCAACGCCAUGCAGUGGGUGUCGCCCUUGGCAUCCGUUGACGACGAGGCCGCUGUCGCCGCCGCCCCUCUGGCGCAGCUUUUGGCCACACGUCUGCGCUACAUCCAGUCCCGGGAGUUGGCGCCUCGGAUCGCCACCAGUACGACGCUGUCCUCCUCUCGCCGUCGCGCCGACGCCAUUGCCAUGGCUACUAACGCGGUAAAGGCCGCAGAGUACGUAAGCGUUGUGGCUGCCGCGUGCGCACUCGUGACGAGUUGCUUUAUGCCGCGCGAGAGCUGCACCACCGCGUCUGUCGCGCUCGUGUCGUUUCUCCUCCUCGUGAUGGAGUCAGCGCUGGUGCCGAAGGCGGCGGUGAAGCUGGGGCUGGGGUUUCUCGUUGUGUUCACGAUCGUCGCGAUGAGCGUUUGUCGCGCCGCUGUGUAGCAAUGUGUUCUUAUGCAAAAGAAUUUGAGCGGUACGGAAAAAAAAAGCGUUGCAGUCUCAGCGCUGCUGGCCAGCUCUUGUGCGCGCUGGUGUGCACUGCCCAUCUGUGUCCCGCUUCUUGCUCCCGGCAUGCGUGUGUGUGUGUGUGGUGUGUGAAAUCUUGGCUGUUCCUUGGUGUGUGUCUCGUGUACUGUGUGCUCACUUCCGACCAUGCCUCGGCGCCACCCGCUAACGCACGUGCCACAGCCGGCAUUGCACGGGGAAGUGGGGGGAGGUACAUGCGAAGGUGCAUCGGAGAGCAAACUGGAUGGGGUGUACGCUUCCACACAACGCUCGCCACACGUGGGCGUAGAUGAGGUGUAGAUGAAAGCGGAAAACACCAAAAGAGGUCGGAAGGGAUGGCCGAAUGCAGCACAG